CCUACGGGUGGCAGCAGUGGGGAAUAUUGGACAAUGGGGGCAACCCUGAUCCAGCCAUGCCGCGUGUGUGAAGAAGGCCCUCGGGUUGUAAAGCACUUUCAGUGAGGAAGAACGCCUGGUGGUUAAUACCCAUCAGGAAAGACAUCACUCACAGAAGAAGCACCGGCUAACUCCGUGCCAGCAGCCGCGGUAAUACGGAGGGUGCGAGCGUUAAUCGGAAUUACUGGGCGUAAAGCGCGCGUAGGUGGCUUGAUAAGCCGGUUGUGAAAGCCCCGGGCUCAACCUGGGAACGGCAUCCGGAACUGUCAAGCUAGAGUGCAGGAGAGGAAGGUAGAAUUCCCGGUGUAGCGGUGAAAGGCGUAGAGAUCGGGAGGAAUACCAGUGGCGAAGGCGGCCUUCUGGACUGACACUGACACUGAGGUGCGAAAGCGUGGGUAGCAAACAGGAUUAGAUACCCUAGUAGUC
rnacentral:rRNA from 1 species